AUUGAACGCUGGCGGCAUGCCUUACACAUGCAAGUCGAACGGCAGCACGGGUGCUUGCCCCUGGUGGCGAGUGGCGCACGGGUGAGUAAUACAUCGGAACAUGUCCUGUAGUGGGGGAUAGCCCGGCGAAAGCCGGAUUAAUACCGCAUACGAUCUACGGAUAACAGCGGGGGCCCUUCGGGCCUCGCGCUUUAGGGUUGGCCGAUGGCUGAUUAGCUAGUUGGUGGGGUAAAGGCCUACCAAGGCGACGAUCAGUAGCUGGUCUGAGAGGAUGAUCAGCCACACUGGGACUGAGACACGGCCCAGACUCCUACGGGAGGCAGCAGUGGGGAAUUUUGGACAAUGGGCGAAAGCCUGAUCCAGCAAUGCCGCGUGUGUGAAGAAGGCCUUCGGGUUGUAAAGCACUUUUGUCCGGAAAGAAAUCCUUGGCACUAAUACGGUCGGGGGAUGACGGUACCGGAAGAAUAAGCACCGGCUAACUACGUG
rnacentral:rRNA from 1 species